AGAAUUUGUAGAGAAUCUGAACAAGCGGGU
rnacentral:piRNA from 1 species